UGGGCUAUCGCCAAGCGGUAAGGCAACGGAUUUUGAUUCCGUCAUACGUUGGUUCCAAUCCAGCUAGCCCAGCCA
rnacentral:tRNA from 1 species